UUGAUAAUAUAUAAACAUAGGCUAACAUGUUAUAUAAUAUAUAUUCAACACAAAUUUCAAUAUAAAAUUAUUUGUGAAGAAUAUUGUUAUUUUCAUAACGUCCUCAAAACUCAGUAUUUACUUUGAGAGCAAUCUUAUUGUUUGCUGUCCCAUUUCAAAUGCUUAGUAGUCAAUGCAUCAGGUGGCUACUGCUCGGGAUGGUAUAAUUCUAACCCUAAUGUUUAGGAUUUAAGGGACACGUUCAUCUAUCAGCAAAGUAAUUGCAAACCUUUACUGAAGGUGAGUAGUUCUGUGGAAACCGAGGUCACCUGUUAAAUGAGGUCGCCUGCUAAAUGUUGGCAAUUUAUGUUUCACAGUGUGAUGUGUGGUCAUCAAGAGCAAGAACUUUAUCUGAGUUGGAGUCAUUCUAGGUUCACAUUCCUGAUGGACACAGAGUGAAAGGAAGUCAUUACUUGGGUUUCAUUUACAUAGUAUUUCCCUUUAUGACUUCCUAAAAACAUUCUGUUUUCUUCCAUAGAUGUUUAUAAAAGUGUCUUUUAUCUGUAAAACAGUAAGAAGAAAACUAUUUAAGAUAGGUUAUUAUUCUUUUUAAAAUUUGAUUUUUCUUAAAAAAUAAGUUAAAGGGAAAAGUGUUUCUGAUGAUUGGGUUCUUACUGUGCACUUGAUAUAUGUGAUCUUAUUCUAUCCUUUAAUAAUCUUUUGAGCUUUGUACAAAUGAGAAAGCUGAAGUUUAGAGGUUUUAAGUGAAUUUUAUAAAAUCAACCAUAUUCUUCAGAAUUAGUAAAAUAUUCCCUCCAUACUAGUGUAAUUUUAAAGGAUUUGUGAUAUGGUUAAAUCUUAUUCUAGUGCAUGGUUAAUAUCUGAGAAAUUUCAAAUGCACAUGAACAAUAUGACAGCCAUAUAAAUUUUGCAGACACUUAAGCCUUUUUUUCAGAAGCAUGGGUUUUUGAGGAGAUGAACUCAAGUUCAAGCUCUAGCUCUUCCACUUGCUAGCUUUUUUGACCUUGGAAAAUUAUGUAAACUCCAGAAGACUGUUCCCUCAUUUAGAAAAUAAGCAUAUAAUAGUGCCUAUCUGUUAGAGUUGUAUAAGGUCUAAGUGAGCUAAUUCAGGAAAAGCACAUGGUGUGAGGCAGAUACUAAGGACUCACCAAAUGUCAACAGCUUGUUGUUUUGUUUUGUUUUUUAGUCAUUGGCAGUGACUGGCCUGGUAUAAACUGUUUAAUCUUGCAGGAAUUUUCUUGAAUACUCAGUAGGGCAGAAUGCAUUUUUUUUGUAUGUUAAGUAAGAUUAAGCAGUAUGAUUAAGCCUGAGGUAUUUUUCCAUAAUGAAUGGCACAGACUGUAUUUGAGAACAACAGUUUUCAGAAACAGGUCUGACUUCUCAACAGCUUGGGGAGAGAACAAGCACCAUUAUAACCUCUACCUAGGCGCUAAAAGCUUAAGCCUGCAAAGACAGCAACCCUGCUUUCUUUCUGAAAGAUACCUGAAGUCUGGAACUGUUUCUUCUCUGGGAUGUCCCCUCUGCCACGCCACUCUACCUCGGAUCCAGACAAUUAUGGACUGAAAUCUUUAUAAACUGCAGGAACCUACACCACUGAACUAAAUCCCUGGCCAGCUGAUGUGCAUUUGAUCCAGUACAUAUCAGUCAGGAGCAUGGCAGAAAGCAGAUGUCACCUGUGAAAUAGAGAACUUGGUCAGGUGCAAGACACCCACAAGGAACAAUGUUAAACUCUGAGACAGAAACAGCAUAGCUGUCAUAAUCUCUACGCCCAAAGGAAUGAAAGUGGAGAGCAUAGUUCAUUUGGAAGAAGAAAGAGAGGAGAAGGGCAGUGUUUUCUUCAGAGGAUCAGAAAUCUAGGCUGAGGAAUGUAACAAGCUGAGGUGUCCUCCUAUCACCCUUGCCCUUCUCUCCUGCUGAGACUCCUGUGGUACUGGGAAUCGAACUCACGCUGCCUGCUUGCAAGGCAGGUGCUUAUGCCGCUGAGCUAAAUCCCCAGCCCCAACGACAGGGUUUGAAAGGUGCAGUGUGAAGCUAAGGGAGGCACAGAAAAAAUACCCCAUAUAGAUAAUGAAAGCAAAGCUUAUACUAUGGUCCAGGCUCAGUGGAAGGGAUAGCAUGAUAUAAGCCUUGUGAAAAGAUUUGUUCUAUUUUUAAUUCACUUACAAUGUGAUGCUAUCUUUCUGAAUAAACAUAUUGCUUCCAGGGUAAUAUUGCAGUAGGCCUUCUGAAGUUCUUCCUAGCUGGUGAUUCAGAUGUUUUUUCUAGUGACUGUUUUUGUCUGUCUAUUACAAUACCUGGUGUUAUGGUUUGUGCCUAGAACUGUUGCCCUCUGCUAUCCUGCCUUGGAGUCAGCCGAUUAUGGCUUGAAACCUCUGAAAACUGUGAGCUAAAUAAACCUUUUCUCUUUUAACUUGGAUGUUGAGUACUUUGUUUCAGCAGCAAGAAAAGUAACCAAGACAUUUGCAAUCAUGCCUGUGACACUAUGUGUCAUGGGAGAGCAAUGAAUCAGAAAUAUAAGCAGCGCAGUGUCCAUUACCAUAGUGCUUAUGUGCAUUGUAAAAAGGCCAUGUUUCCUUGUUCUUCUCAUUUUUAGAGUCAUCAUGGAAUUGCACAAAGAUUAUACACGGCUGGGAUUGUAAAAAUGGAGAAGGAGAAACUGAAAUGUGUUGGUAAUGUUAGCUGAUGUUUAAGUAGUAGAAUUCUUGUGUCAGAGGUAGGAAUGACUGUAUUUAUUUACAAAUAGCUCCAAUUUUUCUUUUCACUUUGAUUUCAUGUUCUUCAGGAAAAAGACAGCUCUGAAAAUUUAUGAACCAUAACUUGUUCUUCAUUACUUGAUCACCCAGUAAGCCAUGUGCACCUAAGCCUAAGGGUCACUACAGGUCUACAACUCUUUGUAAUUUUAUAGGGAAUUCAUUGGCUGCAGGAGGUGUGAUGAGGUGCUGAGAGGCCAUUCAUCCACCAGUGUGGCUGCUAAAUAGUUUUACUAUUGAUAAAGACAUACAUGUGUAUGAGUUCUUUAGGCAUAAAAUUUUCCCCAGAUCUGAGGAUCUCAGGCAAUUCUUGCAGUGGUCUGGAGAGGCAGGCAGGGCAGACCUGGACAAUUUCCAUUUUGGAUGAGAAAUUGAGCCUCGGAGGCCAACUGGCCUGCCAGCAUCCUAUAGCUAAGAAAGUGGCAGAGGUGCUGGAGGUCAAUUCCAUUAAAAAAAAUCACAACAGUUUUCAGUAGGAAUUUUCAAAGUAGAAAAUAUCUAGGCCUGUUCUCAGAAAGUGUGAGAGUGUGAGAAAUCAGGAACUUUUCUUUCAUGGACUUUUAUUCAUAAAUUUGUCUAACCACAUGUGGUGGUGCACACUUGUAACCCCAACCCUGUGGGGUAUUGAGGUAGGAAGAUCCCACGUUUGAGCUCAGUCUUGGCAACUUAGUGAUUUAAUGAGAUCCUGUGCCAAAAUAAAAAAUAUACCAGGGCUGGGUAUGUAGCUCAUCGUGAAUGCCCUGGGUUCAAUCUUUAGUACCCUCUACAUUGUUCAGUGUAUAAUUCCCUGUAUUUGGAAAAAUACGCCUUGUAUGAAUCACUGUUUAAAUGUGUUUUCUCUCUUCAGAGUCUUGGAGUAGGACCUGAAGCCAUGUGAGGAAACUGUCAGGCCUGUCCCUCUCUUUUCUGCUACAAGGACUUACUCUUAAAAUUAUGACUCAGGCAGCAUUUUAAAUACAGAAGUUACAUGAUCUUAGAGCUGUAAAAAGUGUCCUAUGACCAUUAUGUUGAGCACAAACAUUGGGAAAGGUGGAAGGGGGGAGCAAGGCGCUAUUGCAGUCAUUUAACUGGGUUAGAGUGAUGGUGGUUUGGACAAAAAUAGCAGAAGAGGAGGUGGUUAGAAGUAUUACAAACUUGGACUAGGAAGGUGGCUCAGUAGUAGAGCACUUGCCUAUUACAUGUGAGGCCCUGAUCACUAGCAACACACACACACACACACACACACACACACACACACACAAAGUAUUAAGACUUGAAUAGAAUUUGAAAGGAGAGUCGAUGGGAUUUCCUGAUAGUACAGUGUGGGUUGUAAAAGAGGACAGGGAGAGAGAAAUCAAGGAUUAGUACAAACAUUUUCCCUGGCAAUAUUGGCAGGAGAGAGCUGACAGAAGUGAGGAUAGGGAAGGCUUAGGUGAACACACUUGAAAGGAAGUCCAGGUUCAGGUUUGAAACUGUUGAGCUGCAGGUACCUGUUCUAUCUGUCUGUCUAUCUACCUAUCUAAUUAUCUUUCUAUCAUCUAUCUAUCCAUUCAUCAUGUUUGCAGAGUGUAAUGAUUGCAUUCGUCACGGGAACUAGGAACAUACACAUAACAUAUCUUAAUUCUUUUUAUUCCCUCCCUCUCCUGCCAUCUCUAAAUCCCCUUUUGCUUCCCAUUUGCAACAGACUUGUCUCCUUGUUUCCUAUAGUCUACUUUCUACUUUGAUCUUUAAAUUACUUGUAUUUUGAUGCGGGUAUGUUGACUGAGAUUGCAUUUUAUCUCUAUGGGAGUGUGGAGUGUGGUUAUUUUGACAAUAUUAAUUCUGCCUAUCCAGGACCAAGAGAUAUCUUUUCAUUUUCACACGUCCUUUUCAGUCUCCUUUUUCAGAGGAAUAAUGUUUGCUCUAGAGUUUUUUUAAAUGCAUUUUGUUGGUUAGGUUAAUGUCCAAGUAUUUAAUUUUUCUUGAAACUGUUAUGAUAGUAUUGAUUUCUUGAUUUGUUUCUUGAUGAAUUCAUUUUUGGCAUAUAGAAGUGCUAUUGAUUUUUGCAUGUUGAUUUUAUAUCUUGCCAGAUGGCUGAAUUUGGUUAUAAGUACUAGAAAUCUUUCAGUAGAAUAUUUUAGGUCUUCUAUAUAAAGGGUUAUGUCAUCUGCAAGAAAUGAAGGACUUCUUCCUUUCCUGCACAUAUCAUUUUUAUUUCUUUCUUUUGCCUGAUUGCACUGGUUGAUGAUCUGAGUACUAUAUUGAAUAGGAGUGAUCUGUGUCUUGUUCCUGAUUUUGUGGGAAAGCUUUCUCAUUUAAUAGGAUAUUGAUAGACUGUUCAUAAAUGGCUUUUGUCAGAUUGAAAUAAAAUCUUUCAAUAUCUAUUUCCUUCAGCUUUUGUUCCACAAAUGAUUAUUGUAUUUUGCCAAAGGCUUUUUCUUCAUCUAUUGAUAAGAUCAUAUGAUUUUUGUCCUUGCUACUCUUUAUGUGAUGAAUUGUAUUUAUUGAUUUGCAUAUGCUGAGCCAUUCUUGUAGCCCUGGAAUGAAGCUUGCUUGGAAAUUAUGUGUGUUGUUUUCAGUCAUUUAUUGCAUUAGGUUAGCAGUAUGUUUUUGAAGAUUUCACAUCAUUAAGGAGAUUGUUCUGGUCUUUUAUUUUGGGGGAGUCUAAUGUUUUUGACUUCUUUAUAUGUUCUAGAUAUUAGUUCUCUGUCUGAGGAAUAGCUAGCAACUCUGUUGAUCAUUUACCAUGUUGUGUAGGAGCUUUUUAAUGUGAUAUGAUCUCAUUUAAUUAUUCUUGGUAUUUCAUUCUGAAAAGUUCUUGCCUAUGCCUGUUUUCUUUAAUCUUCUAGCAGUUUAUUUCUGUUUAAAUAUUUAGAUCUUCAAUCUAUUUGGAUUUUAGCUUACUAUAUAGUAAGAUAUAUGGGUUUAGAUUCAUCUUCUACAUAUGGGUAGCAGUUAUAUCAGUAUAAUUUUUAAAAGACACUGUUUCCCCAGCAUAAGUUUUUGGCUCUCUUCUCAAAGAUCAGGUAGGUGAAUGUACUUGGAGUUGUUUCUGCAGCAUGUAUUCCACAUGUUUGAUUUUGUGCUGGUACCACGCUGACUUUAUCACUGUAGAUUUGUAGUAUAAUUUAGAGUCAGGAUUGUGAUGUUUGCUGUCUUACUCUGGAAGCUCAAGAUUGCUUUUGCUGUUGUAAGUCUCUUCUGGCUCCAUUUAGUUUUAGGGUUAUUUUCUGCAGUUCUUUGAGGAAUGCUAUUUUUAAAUUUUUUUUUAUUUUUAAAGAGAUUAGGACUAAGAGGACAUAACAAAGCAGAUUAGAUCAGAACAAUGCAAGCAACACAACAUUUUACCACAAGACAACCCAUAAUUAACAGUAACUACCAUAAUGUCUCUUUCUUUGAAAUAGUUGAGCAUAACUUCAUAUAUGAUAGUAUCAAACAUAACCAAACAGUAUAAAACCAUUCAAGAGAAUGAAAGAAUUACAGGGCUUUCAGAACCAAAUAACAGAGAACAAACAAUGGCUACUAUAUUUUCUCAUUUUCAUAAAAAAUUUGUUUAUACUAUCAUACAUAAUAAUAUCCAAUAAGAUAUAACAGGAUAGAACCAAAGGAAAAAGAAGAACAAAAGCACAGUAGGACUUCAGAGUAAGAUGACAUUAAAUCAGCUCUGGCUAUUACAAUGUCUUGUUUUCUUCAAAAUAGCUGUUCAUACUAUCACUGAUAAUAAAAGCAAGCAAACCAGGGUAAAACCAUUCCAACUAAUGAAUGCAAACAUUAUAAAGCUUCAAAGCAAUGUAAUGGGGAAUCAUGAUUAUCAUAAACUCUAAGGUACUCUUACCAUUUCUUACACUAGGGAUGGUCUCAAGUUGUGUCCAUUUACUUAUAAAUAUCUUAAUGUGAUCAUUUUUUAUAGCUGAGUAGUAUUUCAUUGUAUAAAAACACCUCAACUUUUUUAUCCAUUCCUCAUUGAUAGACAUCUAGGUUGUUUCCAAGAUCUGGCAAUUACAAAUUGUGCUGUUAUAAACAUGGGUGCACAUAUAUCACUGUGGUAUGAUGCUUUCAGUUCUUCUGGGAAUAUGCCUAGAAGUGGAAUAGCUGGAACAAAUGGGUCUUCCAAUCCCAGCUUUUUGAGAAGUCUCCAGACUGAUCUCCUCAGUGGUUGCACCAGCCUACACUCCCACCAACAGUGCAGAAGUGUUCCUUUUUCUCCUCAGCCUCUCCAGCAUUUGUUGUUGGUAGUUUUCUUGAUCCUGGCCAUUCUUUCUGGAGUGAGAUGGAAUCUCAGAGUUAUUUUAACUUGCAUUUCUCUAAUGACCAAUGAUGAAUAUUUUUUCAUAUAUUUCUUUGCCAUUUGUAUUUCUUCAUCUGAGAAGUGUGUAUUCAUCUCAGAUGCCCAUUUUUGGAUUGGGUCUUUGAAUUUAAUGGGUCUGAUUUUUAAAAAUUCUUUAUAUGUUUUAGACAGAAGUCCUUUGUCUGAGAAACAGUUCGCUAAGAUAUUUUCCCAGUUUGUGGGUUUUCUUUUCACUAUCCUGGAGAUUUCUUUUAACAUGCAGAAACUUUUUAAUAAGACGUGAUCCCAGCUAUUGAUCCUGGGAAGUAUCUCCCAUGUGAUUUGAUUUCUGUUCAUGAAUUAUCUAUGUCUUCAAGAUUUUUACCUACUUUGUCUUCCAACAGAUUUAGUGUUUCUGUUUUAAUAUUCAUAUAUUUGAUCCAUUUAGAUUUUAGUUUAGUACUAUUUUUAUAUUGAUUGAAACUGUGUCAGAUCUGUGUAUCAGUUUUUGAAGUGUGGCCAUAUUCAUUAUAUUGUUUCUGCCUGUCCAGGAAGAAGGGAUGUCUCACCAUUUUUAAUCUCCUUUGUGCAGAGUACUGUAAUUUUCAUUGUAGAUGUCUUUUUACAUCUUCAUUUAGGUUGAUUCCUAGGUAUUUAAUUUUUCUUGUUGCUAUUGUGAAAAAUGUUUUAAUAAGCAUACAGGGACAGUAUUGAUUUUUAUGUGUUGACUUUUAUCCUGCAAUUGAAUCUGGUUAUUAGUUCUAGGAGUCUUUUGGUGAAAUUUUUGGGUCUUCUGUGUAGAGGAUAAUGUCAUCAGCCAAACAACAAUUUGAUUUUUUUUGUAUAUAUCCCUUUUAUUUAUUUUAUUGUCUGAUUGCUCUGGAUAAUAUUCUGAGAACUGUAUUGAACAUAAGUGAUGACAGUGGACAUCCUUUUCUUGCUUCUGACUUUAGUUUUCAGCUUAUUGCCAUUUAAUAUGAUGCUUGCUGUUGGUUUGUCAUAAUGGCUUUUAUCAGAUUAAUAUAAGAUCUUUCUGAAAGAAUCUUGCCCUGGGCCUGACACUGUAGCUGGUAAAAAGCCUUGGAGGCGGAAUCAAGGGGCUCCAUCUUCCCCGCCCCUAGGAAUUUACCUGUGGCACGAAAUAAAUACCAAUGGGCUACCUGUGCAUCAGUAAUGACUCUUAGGCUCCACCCCAAACCUAGGCUACAUGUAUGCCCCCACUCCACGUGUCUGAUGGAGAGAUUGCCAGACCCUGGAGAGAAUGCUAGACCCUGGUGGGUCGGGGGUCUCUCCCCGCAUUCUUAAAAUAAAGGUCAUUUAUAUUUCAUACUUCUUAUCUUUUCAGCCACACCACAAUUCUAUCAUAAGGUUCCCUGACCAGGAAUCCAAUUCUAUCACUUUCUAUCUCUGUUUUCGUUAGAGUUUUAUCAUGGGUGAAUGUUGUAUUUUGUUAAAGGCUUUUUCUACAUCAACUGCGUUGAUCAUGUGAUUUUUAUCCUUGCUUGUGUUUGCAUGCUGUGUUACAUUUGUUGAUUUGCAUGUGUUGAAGGAUCCUGGCAUUCUACUUGGUCAUGAUGUAUGACUUUUGGUGAUUUGUGGCAGCCUGUUUCUCAGUAUCUUAUUGAGACUCUUUUGCAUUCAUAUUCAUUAAGGAGACUGGCUUACAGUUCUUUUUUGAUUGAGUCCUUUUCUGGUUUUGGAGUCAAGGUAAUGCUAACUUCAAGGAGUGAUUUUGAGAAUACUUCUUUCCUUUUAAUUUUUUAAAAGAGUUUGAGGAAUACUGGCAUUACAUAUUCCCUAAACUUUUUGUAGAAUUCAUCAGUGUACCCAUCAGGACCUCGAUUUCUUUUAGUUAAUAGUUUUUUAAAAUUACUUCUUAAUUUUUAUUGCCUGACAUCGGAUUAUUGACAGUUUUUAUGUCUUUUUAUUGCUGCUUUGGUAGUUCUUAUGGAUCUAGGAAAAUAUACAUUCUUUCUGAAUUUAUCUAUUUUAUUAGAGUGGGGUUCACAAAGUAGUAAUAAUGUUGGAUUUCAAGAGAGUCCUUUGUGAUUUCACUGUUCUCAUUUCUUUUUUUUAAUUAUUUAAAGAGAGAAAAAAAGCAAAACAAAGCAGUAAAAGGAUACAAGUAAUACAGAAUUUCAAGAAAAAAAAUACAGUAAGAAAUCACUAGUUAAUAGAUUACAAAUUGUCAUCCCAGAAACAGUUGUCCAAAUUACAAAAUUAAAGCAUACAAAGUGGGCAUUCAUACAGUGAGACUGCAGAGAGUUCUGUUCAAUGAUCCAACAAAAACUCGGUGAUAUGGUUUUCUAUCCUACACACUUAAACAUACAUGCAGUUAUAUCCUUUAGAUCACCUUCCUUUCCUCUGUUUUUUACAAUAACAAUUACACUUUUUGGGUUUUAUUACUCCCAUAGUUCUUACAACUUUUUUAAGAGAAAAAAAAAAAAACAAAUGCGACAAAGCAAAGUAGAGUCAGUUAGAACAGAAGGAUGGAUAUAGUACAUGAUGCAAAAACAGAAUACCAGGUGAUCAACAAUGGUUACCAUUAUGCCUCUUGCUAUCUUAAAAAGAGUUGCCUGUAUCAUCAGGUAUAGUAGAAUUGAACAAAACAGUACAGAACAAGACCAAUAAAACCUACAUUGGAGACCGUACAGGACUUCAAAAGAAGAUAAUAGUCAAACCAUAAUGGGCAUCAUAGUAAAUCUUUCUGCCUUCAAAGUGGUUGACUAUACCCUCAAACUUGAUAUUAUCAAACAAAACAAUAUAGCAAAAUCAGUCAGAACAAGAUGGGGAGAGCAUUACAGGGGUUCAAAUCAGGUUAAUAGGAAAACAAAAAAAUUACUAUAAUAUAUUCUGCUAUUUUUUAAUUUAGUUUUCCCUUGAUUAAAAAAAUAAGAAAAAAUAAAUUAUUUUUUUAAAAAAGGGGGUAAUUGAGGUAAAAAAGGACAUAGCAACAGAACAACUCAGGUCAGAACCAAACAAUUUAAGCAUCAUUGUGUUUUACCACCAGAUAACCUGACAUAAUAGUAGUCACCAUAGUGUCUCUUUCCUUGAAAUAUUUGAAUAUAACUUCACAUACUAUAGCAUGAAACAUAUCAAGACAUUGUGAAGCCAUUCAAGAGAAUGAAAGUAUUACAGGGUAUUUAGAACCACCUAACAGAAAAUAAACAAACGGUUUCUAUAUUAUCUCUUUGCCUAUAAAAAUUUUUGUUUAUACUAUUGUAUAUAGUAAAAUAUAAUAAGAUACAACAUGUUAAAACCAAUGGAAACAGACGAUACUGUUCUCAUUUCUAAUUGCACUGAUUUGAGUCUUUUCUGGUAAAGAUUUGUUUUUUGCAUUUUUCAAAGAACUAGAUUUUCAAUAUAUCAAUUCUUUGCAUUUUUAAGUUUCAAUUUCAUUAAUUUCUGAUGUGAUCUUUAUAAGUUCUUGUACUAAAUUUGAAUUUGGAUCGGCCUUUUUUUUUUAGGAUCUUGAGGUGUAUUAUAUGGUUAUUUAUAUGAGCUCCCUCUGUUUUUCUAAUGUGGGUAUUCACAGCAUGAACUUCCCUCUUAGGAUUGCUUUCAUUGUGUCUUAUAGAUUCUUGAUAUGUUGUACUGGCAUUGUCAGUUGAUUCUAGAAAUACUAAUUUCUUCCUUCACCCACUGAUACCAUUCCAAGAAGCAUUGUUUACCUUUUAUGUGUUAGCAUAAUUUUUGUGCUUUCUUUUGUCUUUGAUUUUUAUUUUCAGUGCAGCAUGAUCUGGUAAUAUGCAUGGGAUAAUUUUAAGAUUUUUGCAUUCACUUAGGUAUCCUUUGUGGGUUAGCAUGUAGUCUAUUUUGAAGAAAGUGCUCUACUGCUGAGAAGAAUGUGCAUUCUGUUGUUGGGUGGGACAUUCUAUAGAUAACUGUUAAUUCCAUUUUUUAAGAGAUUUUGAUUCUAUUCUGAUAUUUCUUUCUUGUUUUUUUUAGUUGAUAUAUUUGAGACAAGGUCCCUUACUUACUUGGCCCCCUCAUUAUCAUUGUGUUUAUCUGAUUUUCUAUGCCCAGUACGGUUUGUUUUAUAAAGUUGAUUUUGCUGACGUUUGGUGCAUAUGUGUUUAUAAUUUUUAUAUUUUCCUGUUGAGUUGUUCAUUUAAUCAAUAUGAGCUACCUACUCUGCCUCAUUUGAUUGUUUUUGAAUUGAAAUUCACUUUGUCUGAAAUUAAGAUCUCUACUCUUUGUUUCAAGUUCCUGUUCCAACUUUUUGAUUCCCAUUUGCUGUUCUUUGACUUUUCCUUAAGUCUAUUUAGUUUUAAGUUAGUCAUCUUUGUGCCAUCUAGUAGCUGUUGAAUAAAUUUUCCUUGGUGUUUUGUGGUUUUUAAGGUAUCUCUGGGUGUAUGGUCUUGUGCAUCAGAUUUAUUCUGUAGGUAUCACACUCUUUCCCCACAAGGGUUAUUUCUGCUGCUUGUAUGUGGAAGCAGAGGCACAGAGAAGGGUCACAAGCCAUUUGUGGAAGUCCCACAGCCUGGAUGGGGUAGAAGCAGCUUUGUACACUAGAGCUGGCUCAAAAGUGCACAUUCUUACCUCCAUGUCCUCCUAAUUUCCAGCCUUUUUGAACUGUCCUUUUUUCCCUGAAAAAAUGAGGGGAUUAGGCUUAAAAAAAAACCCCAAAUAUUGCUUUUCACUUAAAGAUGCUCUAAUAUGCUUCUAGGUUUAUGGUAGAAAUAUCUGGGUGUGUAAAGUUAAACUCCUCUGGCAAAGGAUAAUAUGGAACAAUAUUAUAUGCAACUUAAAAUACUAUUUUGAUGAACAGCCAUAGUAGGUAAUUGUAACCCAAUUCUGUGUUCAAUGUGGAAAAUUUAACAGUUUAAAAAGGAACAGACAGAUGGAAUUUUGUUAAUGCGUCCAAGAAGGAAAUAUGAUUUCACAUGCAUAUUAUAUGCAAGUUUAUGAAUGCAGUCAUAGUGUCUGGAACGUAGCUAGGAAACUAUGAUGAAAAUCAGUGAAGUAAAAUAUCAAAAUAAAACAUUGCAUGACAACUCUUAAUGGGGAGCAAUGCUGGCGCCUUUAAUAAAACCACUUGGGAAUAUUAACGUGAUACAUAAGUGGCUGAAGGGUUCCGAAUUUCCCUGGUGAUAUUCAUAUAUCGCAAAGUGCAUGUUAGCUGGCCAUAAUUCAAAAAGCAGCAUGCUUGGCAUACUACUAGUGAAAUGCUGGAAUUGAGAUCCCCAGUGGUAAAUUGUGACAUCUGGCUUUGUGUCAGAAAUAAGGAGACUCUUGUGUAUGUAUUCUAAGAACUUGUUUGGAGCAAAGAUUUAGGUUUAUAAUCUCAAGGAUGGGAUGUGUGGUUAAGGCAACCAACUUACCUUUGUUUAUGUGAAAGGGUGAGAUGAUUACCAAAAUGUUCCCAUCAAGACCACUUCAGUGCCUUCCUGGUAGCAGAGCACUUAGUUCACAUUUAAAUAUACUCUGGGCAAUUGGAAAUAGCAUUUUUCAUGAAAGGUUUUAAAAAAAUGCGUCAUCUUGAAUUAAUAAGCUUCUAAAAAUGGCUUCUAACGAAUAUAAGUUCUAAUUAUGGGAUUAAUAGUCCAAAUAACUUCAAUUUUAUGUCAAACUAAUUUGGUAGUUGGCAAGUGUUAAAAACCUUUAUCUUGAAAACUUUAUUUAAUCUUUGUUGAAAUUCUAGUUGAUUAGCUUCCUUCUCUUUCUUCCAUCAAAAAUUUUCAAAAGAAUAGUAUUAAUUUUACUUAUUAAAAAUAUAUAUGUUAGAUGAGUAUGACUUAAAAGUUUUCUUGUUUUUUAGAAUUUAUUUGCCUGCAGGAAUUGUAUGUAUAUUUGCCCUUUGCAAAAUGUGAGUGUGUAUGUUUUAAACUGUGCAUUGAAAUUGUUUUCUUAAAGAUAAAGAGUUAUUACUAAUAAUAGCAACAUGGUUCUUGAUAUUAGCAUCAAAAUGAUUUCUUUCUGAGUUGGGCACAGUGGGCAUGCUUUAAUCCCAGCGCUGGAGGCUAGAGCAGGAGGGUGGCAAAUGCAAGCUCAGUCUGGGAAAAUAACAAUUUAUUGAGUCCCUAGCUCAAAAUUAAAAAACUUUAAAAAUACAGAAAAGGUUGGAGACAUAGCUCAGUGGGAAGGCCCUAGAUUUAAUUCCCAGUGCUCAAAAAAAAAAAAAAAAAAACAAGUAUUCAUAAAUGUUUUCUUUUUGAUUUAAACCUAAGGCCAUAUAUAUACAUAUAUUCAUAAUGCUCUGUUAAGAUUAUACAUAUAUAUGUUUUCAUGUACCAGUUAUAAAAUCUAUUUAAUAAAGAAAAAUAAAGAAGAAUUAAAUUUUACUUUUAAAAAACAGAGUAAUUUCUUAAUGGUACCUUUAAGUCUAUUCUAUAAUUUGCUUCUAGUGCUAGUUUUGUUUUACUAACAUAGAGAAAAUGAAGUAGUAAAGACUAGAGUUGGAGUUCUGGAUAAAUGAAUGAUGAAUAUUAAGUAGUGCAGAAAAAAUUGGCUUAAUAAAAUAAAUAGAAAAGCACCAAGAUUGUUUCUUUUUUUGCAGAAUUACAAAGUGUAAUGAAGUCUUUAAAUAUGCACAAAAUAAAAGCAACAUCAUUUGAUUCCUAAUAAAUUAGAAUAGCAAGAAACAAAUAUGAAUGCACAUGAGCUAGUAAGUGAUCAAAAACUACUAUGGACAGGGCAGCGGCUGUGGAGAAGAUAAGGGGUUGGCUUUCUGACGAGGGAGACUUUGUUUGCUGUGUAUUUGGAGAACAGUGACCUGUGCCUCUUGUGAAAUAUUCUCCUGCUAUUUCUCUGCCUAUAAAUAACUUGCUUCGGGUCUGAUGGCUUCUAAUCAGUGAAUUAUGAUUGCUGACUGGGCCUCAGUUAUCAACAGCAGCAUUUAUGGGGCAUUUAAUCCUCAUAACAACCCAGUGAAGUCAGGAUCAUAAUAACUUUCAUGAGCAAACCAACACUAAGAGAGUUUAGAUCACUUGCAAAAAACCGUCAAAGAAGACAAAUAUAACAUUUCAUUUGCUUAUGUGAGGUUCUGGUCAUUCUGCUGGUCUAGAGGACUAAACGAAAACAGUUGGUGGUCUCAGUUCUUAGAAGACAGAAAAAUUCCUUGGCAAUGUGGAUGCCAAGAGUGAGCACAGGAGCAAGAACACGGUGUGCUGUGUGAGACAGAGCACGUUCGGUGUUUGAGGAGGCCGCAGAGAAAAAAAAAAUCAUUUGAAGACAGAUUGAGAAGGUAUCUGUCUACAACAUUAGAAGGUAAGUCUUUCCAGAUAUCAGAUCUGGUGAAUCUUAAUCUAAAACUUCCAAUCUUCUGAACAGUGAGACAGGCAUUUCUGUUGUUUAAGCUACAUAGUAGCCUGAGCUGAAUGAUAUACUUGUGUUCUUAUUUCUGGAUAUAUUGACUACCAUAAAUUAGUGAGAUAUGCCUAAAGUUGUAUUUGACAUGCAAAUAGGAUUUUGCAUUGUUAAAUUAUUCACAUUACUUUAACAUUUGUAUAUAUGUGUGUCUAGUUGAGACAUGUAAAAUAUGACAAUGAUUAUGUUGGUAGAUAGAUGGAAAUACAACACUUUGAUUGUGAAAGGUUUUAUUUUAUUAAAAUGUCUAAUGAGAUAGUCAUAUUUUCAAAAAUUAAAAUUUCAGUGUGUUUCCACACUUUUAAAUUUCAAUAUUGAUUACCAUUUUAUUUGGUCUUUUAAUGUUAAAUAGUUCUUGAUAAUUUAUAGAAAAAAUAACACACAUGAAGAGUGAUUUGAAAUUGCAAAUUGAAUAUCCUUUAUCUGAAAUUCUUGGGAUCAUAACUGUUUUGGAUUUUGGAAUAUUUACACAUGCAUAAUGAGCUAUUGUGAGAGCAAGACCUAACUCUAAACAGAAAAUUCAUUGUUUCAUAUACAUCUUAUGUAUAAUCUGAAGACAAUCUUGCACAAUACUUUUGGAGUGCCUAUGAUGACUGCAAUUUGCUUCAGAAGAUCAGGUAUGCAGUGCCCUGUGUCUUGCAUCAUAUUGGUGCUCAGAUAUGUUCAUAUUUUGGAAAAUUUUGCAUUUAAAAUUUCUAGAUUGGGAUGUCCAACUUUUAUUUAAAUUUGUGAGAAAAAUUUAGCCUAAAAACCAACGUUUUAAUUUUUAAUUCUUUAUCUCAGAGGUCAGCAAACUGUCACCUGUGGGGUGAAAUCUGACCUGUCAUUUGUCCUUGUAUAUAAUCUCUUUUUUUAAUUUUAAAGAGAAUAAAAAGAAAAAGACAGAACAGCAACAAAAAAAUAUAAGAAGUACUUGGAAAUCAAUCUAACAAAGGACAUAAAGGAUUUCUAUAUUGAAAAUUAUACUUUUAAAAAGAAAAUCAAAGAGGAUAUCAGAAAUUGGAAAGAUAUCCCUUACUUAUGAAUAGGAAAAACCAUCACAUUGUAUUUAACUCUGGGGGACCAUCCUUUUCCCCAUCCCAGUUAUUCUUUCCUUUUGAGCAGUUUCUUCUCUUUUCACAACAUCUAAAGUACAUUUUAGAUUUUAUUUACUCCUGGUUUCUUACACUAGGGAGACAAUAUGAUGUUUACACAUGUGAUUCUGGUUUAUUUUACUUAUAAGCAUGGUCUCUAGUUGCUUUCAUUAUCUAUAAAAGUCUCAAGUUUGUCUUUCUUUAUAGCUGAGUAGUACUACAUUUUAUAUCACAUCUUUUAUUUUUUAUCCAUUCCUUGGUUGAAGGGUAUUUGGGUUAUUUCUUAAGAUUUAGUUAUUACAAAUUGUGCUGUUAUAAAUAUGGAUUAUAUAUGUUGCUGUGGCAUGAUGUUUUUAACUUUUCUGGGAAAAUACCCAGAAGAGGAAUAGCUGGAUCGAAUGGGACCUCCAUUCGUAAUUUUUUGAGGAGUCUUCAUACUAAUUUGCACAGUGAUUGCACCCAUCUGCACUCCCACCAAUGCUGGAGAAGGAUUCCUUUUUCUCCACAGUCUCUACAGCAUUUGAGAUUGGUUGAUUUUUUGAUGGUAGCCAUUCUUUCUGGUGUGAGAUGGAAUCUCAGUUUAUUUUAAUUUAAUUUAAUUUUUCUUAUUUUAAUUUGCAUUUCCUGAAUGAUUAAUCAUGCAGAACAUCUUUUUAUAUAUGUGCUGGCCAUUUGUAUUUCUUCAUCUGAGAAGUGUGUAUUCACCUCAGCUGUCACUUUUGGAUUGGGUCUUUGAAUUUUGGGGGCCUGAUUUACAUAUACUCUUAUUAGGAAACCUGUCUGUCCAUAUUUUUCUAAAUGAUCUAUUUCUGUUCUCAUGUCAAACUAUGAGAAUUGAGCACUUACCACGGAUAUUGUAUGAUCUGCAAAGUUGAAAUAAAUCACUUUCUUUCUUUCUUUCUUUCUUUUUUUUUGUCUUUUUCAUUUUUAUCAGUACCAGGGAUUGAACUCAUGACCGCCUGCUUGCAAGGCAGGUGCUUAUGCCACUGAGCUAAAUCCCCAGCCCCUAAAUCACUUUCUUUAAAGCACAAAAAUUGCUGAACUUUUGCUUUAGUUCAUCAAGAAUGUGUUCAAAUUUAAAUCAUGACAAUAAUAUAAAAUACAGUAGAGUUUUAAAAAGAAUAAAAACUGAAAAGAAAAAAAUGUUUAAUCUGAAAUAACUGAAAGCUAAGAAAAUGAGCAGACUUUUGUAGACCACAAUCCAAAUAAAACUUGCAAGUAGUAUUUUACAAAUUCUUAAAGUUUUAAUAAAAAUGGGCAACAAAAUUGUUCUCAUCAAAUUCACAAAUGAAACUUAUCAGAUAGUCUGCAAUGUCAAAUUUUUCAUUAAGUGAAACUGUAACCACUGAUUACAAUGAGCAUGAGAAAGGAAAUUAUUUAUGUCAAAUUUACAAUUUGAAGACAGCAAAUAAAACUUCAAUCUGCCUGUUAUAAUUUGAGGAAAACUGUAUUCGUAAAAUCUGAAAAUUGAAUGGAAAGUCAAAACCUCUGUCUAUUGGAUGAAGAUUCUGGAACAUGGCUGUUGUAUCUUGCCACAGUCAGAUUGUUUCUAGCAAAGCGCAGUCUGAUUCCAAUCAGUCAUUUCAAAUUUCUAUUGCAGAAAACACUGCCAAAAUUUUUACUUCAUUUUAAACCCAAAUUCUUUCAAAUUGUGAAAGAAGCUGUUUCAUUUUAAAUUCAAAGACAAAGUAUCUUGUUACUAUAUAUGUUUGUACUUGGAAUGGAAAUCAAGACCUAGACUUGCAGACAGGUGCUGUGCCCCUGAACUAUAUGGCCAACUCUGUUAUAUAUUUUUCAACCAGUGUUUCUGACUGAUUCUGGCAAAUGAAGGCAUUAGUAGUGUGAAACACACUCUUGAUUAAAAGAAUAUGGAGAGUCAUGUGCACAAGAAAUUAGUUAAUACUAGGAUUGAAAAAGACUGAACAAGUGAUAAUCAAUAUCUUUUAACAAAGCAGUAAGUAUAAAACAGGAUACAAAAUACUGUUACAGUGUUCAUAAGAGUAGUAAAAGGUGAUAUUUUGUUCCAUUUUUUGUCAAAGCACAAUAAAGACUAUUAUUAAAUAAUAUUGAUAGAAACACAGGAAGAUUUUAAGCUUACUAGAAAUGACUUCCACAUUUGUUAAGUAUAGUGGAACAUAUAAUAUGAUUUUAAAAUAAUUAAAAAUAUGAUUUCUCAUGUGGAUGGAGAUUCAAAUAAUUAAUCUGUUGGCUAAGAAAGUGAGUGAGGAAAACACAUUUAAAAAGUAAAUACUACAUAAAAUGUGAAACUCUGAAAUUUAUACUUAAUAAAUACAAAUAAAAAGUAAAUGAAAUGUAUUUUAAAAGUCAUGUUAAGAAGCUAAUAAAAGAAAAUUAUAGUUUUAAUAGAAAAUGAAUUAUGACAUUAAUUUUGAAUGUGUACCACCCAUAUUGCUUACUCUCUUA